GAUGAACGCUGGCGGCGUGCCUAAUACAUGCAAGUCGAGCGAACGGACGAGAAGCCUGCUUCUCUGAUGUUAGCGGCGGACGGGUGAGUAACACGUGGAUAACCUACCUAUAAGACUGGGAUAACUUCGGGAAACCGGAGCUAAUACCGGAUAAUAUUUUGAACCGCAUGGUUCAAAAGUGAAAGACGGUCUUGCUGUCACUUAUAGAUGGAUCCGCGCUGCAUUAGCUAGUUGGUAAGGUAACGGCUUACCAAGGCAACGAUGCAUAGCCGACCUGAGAGGGUGAUCGGCCACACUGGAACUGAGACACGGUCCAGACUCCUACGGGAGGCAGCAGUAGGGAAUCUUCCGCAAUGGGCGAAAGCCUGACGGAGCAACGCCGCGUGAGUGAUGAAGGUCUUCGGAUCGUAAAACUCUGUUAUUAGGGAAGAACAUAUGUGUAAGUAACUGUGCACAUCUUGACGGUACCUAAUCAGAAAGCCACGGCUAACUACGUGCCAGCAGCCGCGGUAAUACGUAGGUGGCAAGCGUUAUCCGGAAUUAUUGGGCGUAAAGCGCGCGUAGGCGGUUUUUUAAGUCUGAUGUGAAAGCCCACGGCUCAACCGUGGAGGGUCAUUGGAAACUGGAAAACUUGAGUGCAGAAGAGGAAAGUGGAAUUCCAUGUGUAGCGGUGAAAUGCGCAGAGAUAUGGAGGAACACCAGUGGCCGAAGGCGACUUUCUGGUCUGUAACUGACGCUGAUGUGCGAAAGCGUGGGGAUCAAACAGGAUUAGAUACCCUGGUAGUCCACGCCGUAAACGAUGAGUGCUAAGUGUUAGGGGGUUUCCGCCCCUUAGUGCUGCAGCUAACGCAUUAAGCACUCCGCCUGGGGAGUACGACCGCAAGGUUGAAACUCAAAGGAAUUGACGGGGACCCGCACAAGCGGUGGAGCAUGUGGUUUAAUUCGAAGCAACGCGAAGAACCUUACCAAAUCUUGACAUCCUUUGACAACUCUAGAGAUAGAGCCUUCCCCUUCGGGGGACAAAGUGACAGGUGGUGCAUGGUUGUCGUCAGCUCGUGUCGUGAGAUGUUGGGUUAAGUCCCGCAACGAGCGCAACCCUUAAGCUUAGUUGCCAUCAUUAAGUUGGGCACUCUAAGUUGACUGCCGGUGACAAACCGGAGGAAGGUGGGGAUGACGUCAAAUCAUCAUGCCCCUUAUGAUUUGGGCUACACACGUGCUACAAUGGACAAUACAAAGGGCAGCGAAACCGCGAGGUCAAGCAAAUCCCAUAAAGUUGUUCUCAGUUCGGAUUGUAGUCUGCAACUCGACUACAUGAAGCUGGAAUCGCUAGUAAUCGUAGAUCAGCAUGCUACGGUGAAUACGUUCCCGGGUCU
rnacentral:rRNA from 1 species